rnacentral:sRNA from 1 species
CCAGCCCAGUCGCGGCGCAGCUGAUCUCUUUAAUCACCUCGGUCGCAGGUUCGAACUCUGCACGACCCACCAAUCGCGUUCGGUGGAAACGAGAAUAAAACGUGAAGGAUAACGUUGCGUCAGCAACGGCCCGUAGGGCGAGGCGAAGCCGAGUCAUCCUGCACGACCCACCA